AGUGAACGCUGGCGGUAGGCCUAACACAUGCAAGUCGAACGGCAGCACAGUAAGAGCUUGCUCUUACGGGUGGCGAGUGGCGGACGGGUGAGGAAUACAUCGGAAUCUACUUUUUCGUGGGGGAUAACGUAGGGAAACUUACGCUAAUACCGCAUACGACCUACGGGUGAAAGCAGGGGAUCUUCGGACCUUGCGCGAUUGAAUGAGCCGAUGUCGGAUUAGCUAGUUGGCGGGGUAAAGGCCCACCAAGGCGACGAUCCGUAGCUGGUCUGAGAGGAUGAUCAGCCACACUGGAACUGAGACACGGUCCAGCCCCUACGGGAGGCAGCAGUGGGGAAUAUUGGACAAUGGGCGCAAGCCUGAUCCAGCCAUACCGCGUGGGUGAAGAAGGCCUUCGGGUUGUAAAGCCCUUUUGUUGGGAAAGAAAAGCAGCAGGUUAAUACCCCGCUGUUCUGACGGUACCCAAAGAAUAAGCACCGGCUAACUUCGUG
rnacentral:rRNA from 1 species